rnacentral:tmRNA from 1 species
GGGGGCGUAAAGGUUUCGACGGGGGUUGUGAACCUUGGUAAGCGAGUAGCGGUGCGGAACCGCUAUAAAAUCCGCAGCUUUAAAAUUAAACGACAACAAUACAGUUGCCUUAGCUGCCUAACGCAGCUCGUCCUGUUUAAGAGUACCACGGCUUAAAUAAGGGCGUCGAACAGUGGUGAACGUGUACAGGAGGAUUGUCUUGACCCUGUCCAUGUAUUAAAGACUACCGAUGAAGCAAGCCUGCCGACCGGCGUGCUUUUUGGGGAAUCCUAAAUCAUCGGCUACACUCGUAGAAAGCCUUGGCAAGUGACUUUCGGACAGGGGUUCAAUUCCCCUCGCCUCCACCA